AAAGGAAUUGACGGGGGCCCGCACAAGCGGUGGAGUAUGUGGUUUAAUUCGAAGCAACGCGAAGAACCUUACCAGGCCUUGACAUCCCUUGCAAAAGCAUAGAGAUAUGCCAGAGGUUAUCAAGGUGACAGGUGGUGCAUGGUUGUCGUCAGCUCGUGUCGUGAGAUGUUGGGUUAAGUCCCGCAACGAGCGCAACCCCUAUCUUUAGUUACCAUCAUUUAGUUGGGGACUCUAGAGAGACUGCCGGUGAUAAGCCGGAGGAAGGUGGGGAUGAGGUCAAAUCAUCAUGCCCCUUAUGGCCUGGGCUACACACGUACUACAAUGGCUACUACAGCGAGCAGCUAGUCAGCGAUGACACGCAAAUCUCACAAAGGUAGUCUCAGUUCGGAUCGAAGUCUGCAACUCGACUUCGUGAAGCAGGAAUCGCUAGUAAUCGCAGAUCAGAAUGCUGCGGUGAAUACGUUCUCGGGCCUUGUACACACCGCCCGU
rnacentral:rRNA from 1 species